ensembl:snoRNA
AUCCUUUUGUAGUUCAUGAGCAUGAUGAUUGGGUGGUCACACACGGAUGUGGGAUGUGCCACCCUCAAACGCUGUUACUCGGCAUAUUACCCAACAGGCC